rnacentral:ncRNA from 1 species
AUAGAGGUAAAUUAAAGGUUUAUCUAGUCAUUAAAGAAAAGUGGCGAAAUCUUCAAAAUGCGGGGAGUUCUUAAAGACGAAUAUACCAAAUUAAUAUAGUAAUAUAAUUAAAGGCACAGGUAAUGACUGGUGAGAGGGUAAAAAUUAUUUGUAUGAAGAAAUGAAAGAGAUAAUCCGCAGCCAAGUUCCCUAAGUGGAAUGCAGUUCAUCGACUAAAUGGAGAUUGGUAUAUUAAAUAAUAUAAUUUUAUUUAAGAGAAGAAGUUAAUUCUAUUAAUUAUAAUUUUAAUAAAAAUUAAUAUGCUUAAGAUAUAGUCAGGCAUAAUUUAAAAAUUAUG